UACGGAGGAUCCGAGCGUUAUCCGGAUUUAUUGGGUUUAAAGGGUGCGCAGGCGGGAGAUUAAGUCGGCGGUGAAAUUUUGCAGCUCAACUGUAAAAGUGCCUUCGAUACUGGUUUCCUUGAGUGUGGAUGAAGUAGGCGGAAUUUGUGGUGUAGCGGUGAAAUGCUUAGAUAUCACAUGGAAUACCGAUUGCGAAGGCAGGUUACUAACAGAUUAUUGACGCUGAUGGACGAAAGCGUGGGUAGCGAACAGGAUUAGAUACCCGGGUA
rnacentral:rRNA from 1 species